UCCUUGGUGGUCCAGGGGCUGAGACCCUGCAUUCCCAACGCGGGGGGCCUGGGUUCGAACCCUGGUCAGGGAA
rnacentral:tRNA from 1 species